GACGAACGCUGGCGGCGUGCUUAACACAUGCAAGUCGAACGAAGAGGCGAACGGGUGAGUAACGCGUAAUCACCCUGCCCUUCAGAGGGGGACAACAGAUUGAAACGACUGCUAAUACCGCAUACUGAAGGAGGGGAUUGCGUCUGAUUAGCUAGGUGGAGGGGUAACGGCCCACCAAGGCGAGGAUCAGUAGCCGGUCUGAGAUGAUGAACGGACAAAUGGGGACUGAGAAACGGCCCAGACUCCUACGGGAGGAAGCAGUGGGGAGUUUUCCGCAAUGGACGAAAGUCUGACUGAGCAACGCCGCGUGAGUGAUGACGGCCUUCGGGUUGUAAAGCUCUGUUAAUCGGGACGCGGUACCGGAAUAGAAAGCCACGGCUAACUACGUGCCAGCAGCCGCGGUAAUAC
rnacentral:rRNA from 1 species